rnacentral:RNase_P_RNA from 1 species
GCAGUGCCACGGCCUGCCGCUGGUGCUAACCACCUCUGAACGGAGAGGGUAGAGCACGAGAGGAAAGUCCGGGCAGCGAAGGACGCUCCACUGGUGAAAGUGCCAGCUAUCGGCGACGAUAGGAUAUGGGAGAAGAGAACGACCGCCCCCUGCUCUGGCCUCGGUCAGAGGACGGCUCACAGCCGAGGGGGUAAGGGUGAGAAGGCGGUGUAAGAGACCACCAGUCGGCGGGCGACCGUCGGGCUGUUCCAUCUGGAGGCUGCAAGUUCGCGUAAACCAUCGGUUGAGGGCGGUCCGUCCGAAACCCCUCUGCGGGUUACGAUGGAGGGUGGAAUGCUUGAGCUGGCAGGCAACUGGCAGCGUAGAUAAAUGGCAGGCACCUCUCUGCAAAGGGAGGUACAGAACCCGGCUUAUAGGGGCAGUGCUUUC